rnacentral:tRNA from 1 species
GUCCAGGGAUGAGAACCGAACCCACAGUGUUCCGCUUACCGGGCAGAUGCCAUGUCCACUAGGCUACCCUGGA